GCCUAGGUCGUUCCAAGGUGGUACACAGGAGGUUCAGACAUCGCCAUGGACGCCAUAGUCGCC
rnacentral:lncRNA from 1 species